rnacentral:misc_RNA from 1 species
GGCUAUUUCAUUACAACAAAUAAAAGAGAUACAUUAGCUAAAUCAGAGAAAACAAAAGAUGUGAGAUUUCGUGGGAUUUCUUUCAUCUAGAAUCUCUCUCUCAUAGAUAAAAGUAAAGGACGCCUCGUUAAAUAUCAUUGCCUCCUUCUCUUAAUUAGGGGGCUUUGCUGCUGAUCGGUUUAGCAUUGCUCAACACCAGCAUUCCGAAAUCAAUCACAUUGCCUCUUGAACCACGUCUAUGAUUGGAAAUCGAAGAAUUCGAGAAUUGAAGGGACCCAGAAACCAAUGAAUUGAACCUCGUUUAUUUUUCUUGAAUUGUUUCAUAACGAAAAAUUAAAGGGCCUAGGAACCAAUAAUAGGUGUAGAAGAAGAACAAGAAAGAAAGAAAGAAAGACUGCUCGAAUGGGUGAGAAUGAGGCUUGGGUGGUGCUAUGGAAAGGAUGAGAAAAGAGUGAAUGAAAAUGAUCGAAACAAUCACAUGCCAUUCGAGAGAGUU